rnacentral:lncRNA from 1 species
AUUGCACGGGAUAAAUAUUAGCGAGGCAAGACUAUGAGAAAGGUUUGCUGGAUGCGCUGAAAAGGGUUGUCAAAAACUUGGCAACUCUCAAUAAUUUGUUAUCCAUGAAAACACGUGCAAACUUGGUGGUGCUGGGCGUAGCAGAAGGUGGGUAAUUGCUGUUCAAUUAUACGAUGUCUUUGAGAACCUAAAUUGUAAAAUAUGGUUAGAGGAGUUUGGAAGAAUUUUGAGGACAAAGGACUUAGAUGACACUGCAGUUGAUUUAGGAGGAGAGGAAGUUUGUGAGCUUCCUGGGGAUUAAAUUAAAGUUUGUUAAAGAUCAAUUCUGGAGAAAAAGGAUCCCCUGGAGAUUUGCGGGAGAGUUAUUGUUGUAUUACGAUGGUGAUAAAGGAUCGAUGUGAGAGAAUAGGCAUAUAUCUAAAUUGAGCAUAUGAUUGACAAAGGCAAGCUUAACUUGGAUUAUAAGGACCAGGCUCAUAGAGAGCAACUGACAUAAAGAGCAAUAUGAUGAAAGGAGGG